UGAGCGACCUACCUAAUUGUGGGGGAUAGCCGGCCCAACGGCCGGGUAAUACCGCAUACGAUCGGAGAGGGGCAUCCCUUUCUGAGGAAAGCCUUCGGGCGCAAUUUGAGGGGCUCGCGGCCUAUCAGCUAGUUGGCGGGGUAACGGCCCACCAAGGCGACGACGGGUAGCUGGUCUGAGAGGAUGGCCAGCCACAUUGGGACUGAGAUACGGCCCAGACUCCUACGGGAGGCAG
rnacentral:rRNA from 1 species